UACGGAGGGUGCAAGCGUUAUCCGGAUUCACUGGGUUUAAAGGGUGCGUAGGUGGGCAGGUAAGUCAGUGGUGAAAUCUCCGGGCUUAACCCGGAAACUGCCAUUGAUACUAUCAGUCUUGAAUACCGUGGAGGUAAGCGGAAUAUGUCAUGUGGCGGUGAAAUGCUUAGAUAUGACAUAGAACACCAAUUGCGAAGGCAGCUUACUACCCGAAUAUUGACACUGAGGCACGAAAGCGUGGGGAUCAAACAGG
rnacentral:rRNA from 1 species